rnacentral:rRNA from 1 species
CUCCUACGGGAGGCAGCAGUGAGGAAUAUUGGUAAUGGGCAGAGACUGAACCAGCCAAGUAGCGUGCAGGAUGACGGCCCUAUGGGUUGUAAACUGCUUUUAUAAGGGAAUAAAGUGGGGCUCGUGAGCUCUUUUGCAUGUACCUUAUGAAGUAAGGACCGGCUAAUUCCGUGCCAGCAGCCGCGGUAAUACGGAAGGUCCGGGCGUUAUCCGGAUUUAUUAGGUUUACAGGAAGCGUAGGCCGAAGUUUAAGCGUGUUGUGAAAUAUCAGGGCUCAACCUCUGCUCUGCGAAGCGAACUGGCUUGCUUAAGUACGCACUCCAUGGGCGGAAUUCAUGGUGUAGCGGUGAAAUGCUUAGAUAUCACGAAGAACUCCGAUUGCGAAGGCAGCUCACGGGAGCGCAACUGACGCUGAAGCUCGAAAGUGCGGGUAUCGAACAGGAUUAGAUACCCUGGUAGUCCGCACGGUAAACGAUGGAUGUCCGCUGUUGGCUUGAAUUAGUCAGCGGCCAAGCGAAAGCAUUAAGCAUCCCACCUGGGGAGUACGCCGGCAACGGUGAAACUCAAAGGAAUUGACGGGGGCCCGCACAAGCGGAGGAACAUGUGGUUUAAUUCGAUGAUACGCGAGGAACCUUACCCGGGCUUGAAUUGCAGAGGAAGGAUUUGGAGACAAUGACGCCCCUCGGGGCCUCUGUGAAGGUGCUGCAUGGUUGUCGUCAGCUCGUGCCGUGAGGUGUCGGCUUAAGUGCCAUAACGAGCGCAACCCCUCUCCUUAGUUGCCAUCAGGUAAGGCUGGGCACUCUGGGGACACUGCCACCGUAAGGUGCGAGGAAGGUGGGGAUGACGUCAAAUCAGCACGGCCCUUACGUCCGGGGCUACACACGUGUUACAAUGGCAGGUACAGAGAGACGGUCUGAUGCAAAUCAGAUCCAAUCCUUAAAGCCUGUCUCAGUUCGGACUGGGGUCUGCAACCCGACCCCACGAAGCUGGAUUCGCUAGUAAUCGCGCAUCAGCCAUGGCGCGGUGAAUACGUUCCCGGGCCUUGUACACACCGC